GGGAAAUGAUUAGAACAAUUAUGCUUUUCCCGUGAUAAAGGUGACUCAAUUGGAGAUGGUUUGUUAAUUUCAGAAGAAGCAGUCUUUAGAUUCCGUGGUCUUUCCAUUCCAAUAUCUGAUACAAAGCCAGUUCCUAAAUCCAACCGAAAAUCAUCAAGCGACUCUGACACAGGACCCAACAAGGAUACUACAUCAGGUAUAUAACAAGGAUCUUCAAAAAGCUCUGGUUCUUC
rnacentral:misc_RNA from 1 species